CUACGGGAUGCACCAGUGGGGAAUAUUGCACAAUGGGGGAAACCCUGAUGCAGCGACGCCGCGUGAGUGAAGAAGUAUUUCGGUAUGUAAAGCUCUAUCAGCAGGGAAGAAAAUGACGGUACCUGACUAAGAAGCCCCGGCUAACUACGUGCCAGCAGCCGCGGUAAUACGUAGGGGGCAAGCGUUAUCCGGAUUUACUGGGUGUAAAGGGAGCGUAGACGGUGAGACAAGUCUGAAGUGAAAUCCCGGGGCUCAACCCCGGAACUGCUUUGGAAACUGCCUGACUGGAGUGCAGGAGAGGUAAGUGGAAUUCCUAGUGUAGCGGUGAAAUGCGUAGAUAUUAGGAGGAACACCAGUGGCGAAGGCGGCUUACUGGACUGUAACUGACGUUGAGGCUCGAAAGCGUGGGGAGCAAACAGGAUUAGAUACCCUCGUAGUC
rnacentral:rRNA from 1 species